GCUUUUGCGCAGUGGCAGUAUCGUAGCCAAUGAGGUUUAUCCGAGGCGCGAUUAUUGCUAAUUAAAAGAGAGGUUAGAGUGG
ensembl:snRNA U4 U4 spliceosomal RNA